rnacentral:rRNA from 1 species
UACGUAGGGGGCAAGCGUUGUCCGGAAUCAUUGGGCGUAAAGCGCGCGUAGGCGGCCCGGUAAGUCCGCUGUGAAAGUCGGGGGCUCAACCCUCGGAUGCCGGUGGAUACUGUCGGGCUUGAGUGCGGAAGAGGCGAGUGGAAUUCCUGGUGUAGCGGUGAAAUGCGCAGAUAUCAGGAGGAACACCAAUUGCGAAGGCAGCUCGCUGGGACGUGACUGACGCUGAGACGCGAAAGCGUGGGGAGCAAACAGG